rnacentral:lncRNA from 1 species
GACGCCGGCCAGCUUCGCCGUCAGCGUGUCCGUCAGGAGCACGUUCGAUGACCGGACGUUCCGGUGGAUGAUCCGCUGCUCUGCAAACGGCGAGUUUCAGUUUAGAAUUCAGACUUCCACUUCUCAUAUCAUCUUCAUAUCUCUGAAAUUUCAGAGAAUAUAUGUCACUUACCUUUGAAUUCGUGCAGGUAUGUGAUAGCAUGAGCUACGUCGAUCGCGAUGUUGAGCCGUUGCGCAAGUUCUAAACCAUUUCCACAGGAUUCUGCAGUGUGUUGCAUUUGCACAAAUCCUGAUCAAUUCCUCCUACUAGGUACUAGAAUUAUUUCGAAUAGAUAGUAACAGUGGUACUAUUACAGACUAGAAUCUUCUUGGCAUUGUAGUUUACUGCAACUGAAUGAAUCGAUCAGGGGCAAAACGUACCAUCUAAGUGUUCCCUUAAGGAACCAUUGCUGACAUACUCAACGACGGUCAGGCUCUCAUCUUCGCGCUCAAAGAAUCCUAGGAACCUCACUAGAUUCUUAUGAUCAAUUUUCUGAAGAAUUUCAAGCUCUCUCCGAAGCUCAGCUGAUGCAUACUGACUGUUUAACUGUUGCAACAGAAGACAUGGUUACUACUUAUUACCAAGUACCAAUCUCCAACCUACAUACCUCAUGAAAAAUUGCUGAAUAUGCGUAUUCCCUUUGUUUCCAUACCUUUCUGGCACAUUUGAUGGCAAUUUCAGACCCAUCCCUGAGCUUCCCUCUGUAGAUGCUGCUAUAACUUCCCUGCUUUAUUAUGUUCUUGUCACUGAAGUUUGAGGUUGCCUUAAAUAUCUCUGCAACUGUGAGCUCUGUGCUUUCUUGGGGAUACCCUGUCCCUGCUGCACUUAAAUUUGUCAUUUCUCCAUUCUGAUUUUCACACGGUGGGGGAUAUUCAUGUUUAUCUAGUGCUAAAAUAAAAGUAAAUUGCAGUUUUUCACACUAAUUGUUUGCUGCUUGAUAUUUCCCCUUUUAACAGGUGACCUAAGUACAGUUAAUCUGCAAUUAAAUUUACUCUACUUAACCAGCAAAACAACCAAGAACUGAAGAAUUGGAAGGCACCAGAAGGCAGAAUUGCUGGGCAAAUUCCUCGAUAGAGGAAUAGUUCUUACCUGG